rnacentral:rRNA from 1 species
GAGCUCGUAGGCGGUUUGUCGCGUCUGCUGUGAAAUCCCGAGGCUCAACCUCGGGUCUGCAGUGGGUACGGGCAGACUAGAGUGUGGUAGGGGAGAUUGGAAUUCCUGGUGUAGCGGUGGAAUGCGCAGAUAUCAGGAGGAACACCGAUGGCGAAGGCAGAUCUCUGGGCCAUUACUGACGCUGAGGAGCGAAAGCAUGGGGAGCGAACAGGAUUAGAUACCCUGGUAGUCCAUGCCGUAAACGUUGGGCGCUAGAUGUGGGGACCAUUCCACGGUUUCCGUGUCGUAGCUAACGCAUUAAGCGCCCCGCCUGGGGAGUACGGCCGCAAGGCUAAAACUCAAAGGAAUUGACGGGGGCCCGCACAAGCGGCGGAGCAUGCGGAUUAAUUCGAUGCAACGCGAAGAACCUUACCAAGGCUUGACAUAUACCGGAAACGUUCAGAAAUGUUCGCCCCGCAAGGUCGGUAUACAGGUGGUGCAUGGUUGUCGUCAGCUCGUGUCGUGAGAUGUUGGGUUAAGUCCCGCAACGAGCGCAACCCUCGUCGUAUGUUGCCAGCACGUUAUGGUGGGAACUCAUAUGAGACUGCCGGGGUCAACUCGGAGGAAGGUGGGGAUGACGUCAAAUCAUCAUGCCCCUUAUGUCUUGGGCUUCACGCAUGCUACAAUGGCUGGUACAAUGGGCUGCAAUACCGCGAGGUGGAGCGAAUCCCAAAAAGCCAGUCUCAGUUCGGAUUGGGGUCUGCAACUCGACCCCAUGAAGUCGGAGUCGCUAGUAAUCGCAGAUCAGCAACGCUGCGGUGAAUACGUUCCCGGGCCUUGUACACACCGCCCGUCAAGUCAUGAAAGUCGGUAACACCCGAAGCCGGUGGCCUAACCCUUGUGGAGGGAGCCGUCGAAAGGUGGGAUCGGUAAUUAGGACGAAGUCGUA